rnacentral:rRNA from 1 species
UACGAAGGGUGCAAGCGUUAAUCGGAAUUACUGGGCGUAAAGGGCUCGUAGGCGGCCAACUAAGUCAGACGUGAAAUCCCCAGGCUCAACCUGGGAACUGCGUCUGAUACUGGUUGGCUUGAAUCCGGGAGAGGGAUGCAGAAUUCCAGGUGUAGCGGUGAAAUGCGUAGAUAUCUGGAGGAAUACCGGUGGCGAAGGCGGCAUCCUGGACCGGCAUUGACGCUGAGGAGCGAAAGCUAGGGGAGCAAACGGG